GUUUGAUCAUGGCUCAGAUUGAACGCUGGCGGCAGGCCUAACACAUGCAAGUCGAGCGGUAGAGAGAAGCUUGCUUCUCUUGAGAGCGGCGGACGGGUGAGUAAUGCCUAGGAAUCUGCCUGGUAGUGGGGGAUAACGUUCGGAAACGGACGCUAAUACCGCAUACGUCCUACGGGAGAAAGCAGGGGACCUUCGGGCCUUGCGCUAUCAGAUGAGCCUAGGUCGGAUUAGCUAGUUGGUGAGGUAAUGGCUCACCAAGGCGACGAUCCGUAACUGGUCUGAGAGGAUGACCAGCCACACUGGAACUGAGACACGGUCCAGACUCCUACGGGAGGCAGCAGUGGGGAAUAUUGGACAAUGGGCGAAAGCCUGAUCCAGCCAUGCCGCGUGUGUGAAGAAGGUCUUCGGAUUGUAAAGCACUUUAAGUUGGGAGGAAGGGCAUUAACCUAAUACGUUAGUGUUUUGACGUUACCGACAGAAUAAGCACCGGCUAACUCUGUGCCAGCAGCCGCGGUAAUACAGAGGGUGCAAGCGUUAAUCGGAAUUACUGGGCGUAAAGCGAGCGCAGACGGUUGAUUAAGUCUGAUGUGAAAGCCCGGAGCUCAACUCCGGAAUGGCAUUGGAAACUGGUUAACUUGAGUGUUGUAGAGGUAAGUGGAACUCCAUGUGUAGCGGUGGAAUGCGUAGAUAUAUGGAAGAACACCAGUGGCGAAGGCGGCUUACUGGACAACAACUGACGUUGAGGCUCGAAAGUGUGGGUAGCAAACAGGAUUAGAUACCCUGGUAGUCCACACCGUAAACGAUGAAUACUAGGUGUUAGGAGGUUUCCGCCUCUUAGUGCCGAAGCUAACGCAUUAAGUGUUCCGCCUGGGGAGUACGACCGCAAGGUUGAAACUCAAAGGAAUUGACGGGGGCCCGCACAAGCGGUGGAGCAUGUGGUUUAAUUCGAAGCAACGCGAAGAACCUUACCAGGCCUUGACAUCCAAUGAACUUUCUAGAGAUAGAUUGGUGCCUUCGGGAACAUUGAGACAGGUGCUGCAUGGCUGUCGUCAGCUCGUGUCGUGAGAUGUUGGGUUAAGUCCCGCAACGAGCGCAACCCUUAUCCUUUGUUGCCAGCGAUUCGGUCGGGAACUCAAAGGAGACUGCCGGUGAUAAACCGGAGGAAGGUGGGGAUGACGUCAAGUCA
rnacentral:rRNA from 1 species